rnacentral:rRNA from 1 species
UACGUAGGGUGCAAGCGUUGUCCGGAAUCAUUGGGCGUAAAGCGCGCGUAGGUGGCUUCGUAAGUCCGUUGUGAAAGUCAAAGGCUCAACCUUUGAAUGCCGAUGGAUACUGCGAAGCUAGAGUACGGAAGAGGCGAGUGGAAUUCCUGGUGUAGCGGUGGAAUGCGCAGAUAUCAGGAGGAACACCAAUUGCGAAGGCAGCUCGCUGGGGAUGAGCUGACGCUGAGACACGAAAGCGUGGGUAGCAAACAGG